GGCUGAGAGCUUGAUCCUGCAAACCCGCCUCCCAUCCUGCGGGAAGCUCCCAGCGCUGGGGCGGCCGGAACCGGCGAGCCGACCUUACUCGGGCGAGCAGGGACGCCCAGGGCCGGAGCCGGCUCAAUUCGAGCCAAGUCUCGCAGCGCUCUGCAGGGCGGCCGGGCCGGGCUCCGGCAGCGGGGCUGGGGCUCAUCCCCGCGCUGCCCCCGCCUGCCGGGCUCCAGUGCCACGGGAGAAGCUCUCCAACGUGUUUUUCUGGCAUCGCUGGGAAUGAUGGUUCCUUUAAGCUCUUGCAAAUUGCAGAAGUUGAGGAAGACAGAGAAAUAAUUAAUGUAUUAAAACAAGCAGCGAAUUCCUCAGGAGGCACCUUAUCAACUCCAGCCACACUGGCUUCAUCCCUCCUCGUAUGCUAAUACCCCGUGACGUCAUUGGCGCCAGAUUGAAUGUGAAUCAGUUAUGAAAUUAUUAGUUUUAGCUUAAAAAGCAAUCUGGCUCUCCCGUGAGUGGGCUUUGCGUUGCUGCGGGUUCUCGCUCCGUGUCCUCCCCAUGUUAUGCACACACAGUAGCUGCGACUUUCCUGUCGCAAUGAAUCAAUAUUUCCAAAGCACACAUUCUAACAGGGGGUGAUGUAAAGAAACCCAUAGAUUAAUUGGGUCCCGUUUCUGAGUCGGCUGUGUCUUCCUUAUCGAUACACACUUUACACCCGAAACCAGACAGGCGGAUUUCCUCCUACUUUUCAGGGUCUGUGUGAUCUCCUCCCGUGAGAGGCAGCUCAGCAGCUCGGUCCCCUCUGCCAUCUCAGCACUGCCAGGGGAGAAGCCCAGGAGGAGCAGAGCAGUGGCUGAGCAGCAAUCUGAAUAUCCAUAUUUAACUCUUCAAACAACAGAAGAUACUUCAGAACCAUGUUAAGAAGGAUAAGCUUGGAGUGCCCAGUCACCGUGGUAACUGCCAGAAAAAUUCUCCUGAAGUUUGAAGAGGUCAGCUAACGGGGUCAACAACUCUGGCCUCUCUCUGAGCUGGGCCUGGCAGGCUCCAUCCUGCGGUUGGGGUGUUAACGCAGGCUGAGCCCUGGGAGGUGGACCAUUCCAGCUCUGAUAUAAAUUUUUUGAGUCAGUUCACGGCCUGGACUCUCCAGGUGGCCUCCAAAAUCGAUUGUGACCUCGUGACCCUGUCUAACGGAGGCAUAGCAUCCAACCUAAGCAAGGAUUUAGCCAGGAACGACAGCUUUCCACUGAGUGUUAUUGGGGACAGUACAAACAGUUUGGGAAGCAAGGAGCCUGAUGAUGCAGGGUGAGGAGUGCCCAGAACCUUUGUGUGCUCAAGGCACAGCUUUAUCCCGGCCUUCAGUGGGACAGUGCACAUGGAAAUGUGUGAUCUAUUCCUUCCUGAGCCCCAGUGAUGCCUUUGCAGUUCCUCUCGCUGGUUCUCAUAUCCUGGCAAGAUGCUACAAACCCCAUGUGACAAAGAUUAGAAGGAAAUACUUAUUUGAAGAAAUCUCUGUCAUUAGCUGUGCUGAGAUAAUUCAAGAGGAAAAAAAAUCUAUAAAAUGAAACAGCAAAUUGUGAGCAUCUGUGUGCACACCCCUGUGUGUCCUGGUACCACUGCUGGCACACUGGCUCUCAGGAGGAGUUUCAGUGACGGGUGAACAUGUAACUUUCAGGUCCUGUCCCUCUGUUUCUGUGUGGGGUCCCCUGUUUAUUCCCAGAGCUGCUCGUCCCCAUCCCAGCCCAAGGCACUGCAGCAGCCCAGCAGCCUCAUGGCAGGAAUGUGACGCUGGAAUUGCAGGAGCUCUUUCCCCACUGCUGACUCGGAGAGCAGCGAUUUUGGCGGUGAAGGGGCUGCGUGGGGCCGGCCGGGGUCCCGGGCCGGGGGCACCGCUGGUGCUGGAGCUGUGCGGGAGCCGGGCACCCCGAGGGGCUCUGCAGGGUUAACCCGUUCUGUGCUGAGCAUCCACACACGGCGUGUUUGCUCACCCAGCUCUGCCAGGGGUGACUGCGGCUGCGGAGGGCAGCUCCGGGUGCUGGAAUUGCCGAGAUCCAGCCCAUCCCCCGGCCUGUGUGAAACUGCACAAAGCCUCCCCUAAACGUGAAUUUAAAACGCUUUCAAAUUGACGACCUCCUUUUAAAUAACAACAUUUAUGUUAAGCGAAAGGCAUGUUUGCCUCUACAAAUAAAUGGAAUUAUGGUUCUAAGACCUGACUUAAUCCUGAAGUUCUUAGACUGCACAGUAAGUAGAAAAGAAAGAGGAUUGUUUGGAGGAGCAGGGGUUAGCAGGAUCAGGCUCCAUCUUACAUCUUCCUGAUCAUUUUCCUUCUGGCAUUUAAUAUACCUUUCUCGGAACUACCACUGGCUGUUUAUAACAAAGCCAAAGUAACUUUGUGUUUAUUACCUAAUUGAAAAUAACGAGGGAUGGUACACAGUGUGCCCAUCCAUGUUUCCUGCUGGAAAAAUUUGGGUAUUGCUAAACAAACAAAAAAUGCUCUUCCUCCAAAUGUACUCUUAUGCUAAAGUCAUGUCCUUUUAAAAUUAAUUUCGGGACUUCUCUUAAAUGUGUUGCAAUUCUUUGUUCUUUUUCUACCCUAUUUUCUUUGUGAAAAUGUAUUUCAAAAUCUGCAUUGAGGUUUCAAAGGGUCUGGAGAAGAUGUUUACAGAGUAAUAAUGCCAUUUGUAUUUGUUAUAUUUCUGAAAAUGGAAUUUCUAAUCAGAAAAUAUUAAAAUACAUUUGUAUUA